GAUGAACGCUGGCGGCGUGCCUAAUACAUGCAAGUCGAGCGAACGGACGAGAAGCUUGCUUCUCUGAUGUUAGCGGCGGACGGGUGAGUAACACGUGGAUAACCUACCUAUAAGACUGGGAUAACUUCGGGAAACCGGGGCUAAUACCGGAUAAUAUUUUGAACCGCAUGGUUCAAAAGUGAAAGACGGUCUUGCUGUCACUUAUAGAUGGAUCCGCGCUGCAUUAGCUAGUUGGUAAGGUAACGGCUUACCAAGGCAACGAUGCAUAGCCGACCUGAGAGGAGGAGGGCCCACAGGGGAAUUGAGACACGGCCCAGACUCCGGCGGGGGGCAGAGGAAGGGAGUUUUCCGAAAGGGGGAAAGGCCUGAGGGAGCAGCGCCGGGUGAGUGAGAAAGUCUUCGGGACCGUAAACCUUUUUAAUUGGGAAAAAACAUAUGUGUAGGUAAAUGUACACAUCUGGACGGUCCAUAAUAAGAAAGCCACGGCUAACUACGUG
rnacentral:rRNA from 1 species